CCUACGGGUGGCAGCAGUGAGGAAUAUUGGUCAAUGGACGAGAGUCUGAACCAGCCAAGUAGCGUGAAGGAUGACUGCCCUAUGGGUUGUAAACUUCUUUUAUAUGGGAAUAAAAUGUUCCACGUGUGGGAUUUUGUAUGUACCCUAUGAAUAAGGAUCGGCUAACUCCGUGCCAUCAGCCGCGGUAAUACGGAGGAUCCGAGCGUUAUCCGGAUUUCUUGGGUUUAAAGGGAGCGUAGGUGGAUUGUUAAGUCAGUUGUGAAAGUUUGCGGCUCAACCGUAAAAUUGCAGUUGAAACUGGCAGUCUUGAGUACAGUAGAGGUGGGCGGAAUUCGUGGUGUAGCGGUGAAAUGCUUAGAUAUCACGAAGAACUCCGAUUGCGAAGGCAGCUCACUGGACUACAACUGACACUGAGGCUCGAAAGUGUGGGUAUCAAACAGGAUUAGAUACCCGAGUAGUC
rnacentral:rRNA from 1 species